rnacentral:rRNA from 1 species
UACGGAGGGUGCAAGCGUUGCUCGGAAUUAUUGGGCGUAAAGGGUAAGUAGGUGGUCUCAUUUGUCUGGGGUGAAAGCCUUGAGCUUAACUCAAGAAGUGCCCCAGAAACGGUGAGACUCGAGUCCUGGAGAGGUGAGUGGAAUUCCCGGUGUAGCGGUGAAAUGCGUAGAGAUCGGGAGGAACACCAGAGGCGAAGGCGGCUCACUGGACAGGUACUGACACUCAACUACGAAAGCGUGGGGAGCAAACAGG